rnacentral:misc_RNA from 1 species
CCAAUAGCGUAUAUUAAAGUUGUUGCAGUUAAAAAGCUCGUAGUUGAAUUUCGGGCCUGGCUGGACGGUCCGCCCUUCGGGUGAGUACUGUCUGUGGUCGGGUCCUACCUUCUGGCGAAGCGUCAUGGCCUUAACCGGCCGUGGCGGGGAACCAGGACUUUUACUGUGAAAAAAUUAGAGUGUUCAAAGCAGGCAAAUCGCUUGGAUACAUUAGCAUGGAAUAAUGGAAUAGGACAAUGGUUCUAUUUGUUGGUUUCUAGGACCGUUGUAAUGAUUAAUAGGGAUAGUUGGGGGCAUUAGUAUUCAAUUGUCAGAGGUGAAAUUCUUGGAUUUAUUGAAGACUAACUACUGCGAAAGCAUUUGCCAAGGAUGUUUUCAUUAAUCAAGAACGAAAGUUAGGGGAUCGAAGACGAUCAGAUACCGUCGUAGUCUUAACCAUAAACUAUGCCGACUAGGAAUCGGGCGAUGUUGAAAAAAUGACGCGCUCGGCACCUCAUG